ACGUAAUAGAUACCCGGGGUAGUCCACGCCCUAAACGAUGUCUACUAGUUGUUGGUGGAGUAAAAUCCAUGAGUAAACGCAGCUAAACGCGUGAAGUAGACCGCCUGGGGAGUACGGUCGCAAGAUUAAAACUCAAAUGAAUUGACGGGGGCCCGCACAAGCGGUGGAUUAUGUGGAUUAAAUUCGAUGCAACGCGAAAAACCUUACCUGGCCUUGACAUGUAACGAACUUUCCAGAGAUGGAUUGGUGCUCGAAAGAGAACGUUAACACAGGUGCUGCAUGGCUGUCGUCAGCUCGUGUCGUGAGAUGUUGGGUUAAGUCCCGCAACGAGCGCAACCCUUGCCAUUAAUUGCCAUCAUUUAGUUGGGCACUUUAAUGGGACUGCCGGUGACAAACCGGAGGAAGUGGGGAUGACGUCAAGUCCUCAUGGCCCUUAUGGCCAGGGCUUCACACGUAAUACAAUGGUCGGUACAGAGGGUUGCCAACCCGCGAGGGGAGCCAAUCCCAGAAAGCCGAUCGUAGU
rnacentral:rRNA from 1 species